GACGAACGCUGGCGGCGUGCUUAACACAUGCAAGUCGUACGGUAAGGCCCUUUCGGGGGUACACGAGUGGCGAACGGGUGAGUAACACGUGAGUAACCUGCCCACAACUUUGGGAUAACGCUAGGAAACUGGUGCUAAUACUGGAUAUGUGCUCCUGCUGCAUGGUGGGGGUUGGAAAGCUCCGGCGGUUGUGGAUGGACUCGCGGCCUAUCAGCUUGUUGGUGGGGUAGUGGCCUACCAAGGCGGCGACGGGUAGCCGGCCUGAGAGGGUGACCGGCCACAUUGGGACUGAGAUACGGCCCAGACUCCUACGGGAGGCAGCAGUGGGGAAUAUUGCACAAUGGGCGCAAGCCUGAUGCAGCAACGCCGCGUGCGGGAUGACGGCCUUCGGGUUGUAAACCGCUUUCAGCCGGGACGAAGCUUUUUGUGACGGUACCUGCAGAAGAAGCACCGGCUAACUACGU
rnacentral:rRNA from 1 species